CGCUGAUGAUGAUGGUGAUAAUGAGGAUGAUGAGGAUGAUGAUAUCAUCAUCAUCAUCGUCGUCAUCAUCAUCAUCCUCGUCAUCAUCAUCAUCC
rnacentral:pre_miRNA from 1 species